rnacentral:lncRNA from 1 species
UAAUCCCACAUGUAAUGAUUCGGCCCCACUAGCAAUAAUACUGUGGGCUCGUUUGGUUGAAAGUCGGAAUCAGAAUCAGAAUCGAAAUCGAAAUAAACUGGAAUCAGAAUCGGAAUGACUCAUUAUCUAAUUCUGUUUGGUUCAUUAUCUGAAUCGGAAUUGGAAUAAAUCAUUCCCAUUGUCGGUAUUUGGUUCAGGUAGAUAUAAAAAACAUAAUCAAAUUAAUAUACUAACUUUAUCUUUAUAAUAUAUUAUUUUAAAUUCAAAUUGAAAAUUAAAUAUUGAAAAUUUACAUCAAAAUUUUAA